UCCUAUUGUACCGCAGCUGCUGAACACUGCCCAAGAUUGGCGUGAACAAUUCUAACGGAAGGCAACUCUUGUGCGUGUGACAGCGGCUAUGGUAUUCAGGAAAUAUCUUC
rnacentral:pre_miRNA from 1 species